rnacentral:rRNA from 1 species
UUUGACUCAACGCGGGAAAUCUUACCGGGUCCGGACACACUGAGGAUUGACAGGCAAUAUCUCAUGUUUAAUAACCGUUAUUAACGUAUCGCGUUAUUUAUACAUCGAGUGUUAAAUAUGCUAGUCCUUUCAUGAUUAUGUGAUAGGUGGUGCAUGGCCGUUCUUAGUUCGUGGAGUGAUCUGUCUGCUUAAUUGCGUUUCACUAAGGGCCCAUAAAUUCAAGGUAUGUUAGCUAUCUGUCGCUCUAUGGACCCCUUAA